rnacentral:lncRNA from 1 species
UGAGGAAUCCAUUUUCUGAAAAGAAAUGGAGAAAUUUUCAAUUAUCAAGAAUAUUUAGCAGCUCCAAUGCUGUGAUAAAGAUGCACGCAAUUGAUGUGAAUUUAUAUUCAGAAGGAACUACAGUCAUUGAUAGAUGGCUUGUGGCACUCAGCCUGGGUUCUGGGCAAACAAGAAAUAUGGCUCUUGAUAGGUACGAUUAUUUGAAGAAUGUAGUGGAUAUCAUGUGGUAUUUAUGUUCAAAUUGCAAGGAUGUCAAAAGGUCAUGUUGAUGUCUUGCAAUAACUAUAAAGCACAAUGACAUUCUUUAGUCUGUGUCAAUGUUUUGCAAUAACUUGGUUGUUGUUUUCCUUUUAUUAACUUAAUUUGAAGACCUUUUCACUUAUUGAUGGCUCAGUUUAAGGAUGCAUCAAGCACUUUCUCUUUCUAAAAUAUAAAAUAACCAUUAAUAAGAAAAGAGUGAGAAGUUUAUGAAUGUGGAUGGUAUUUUCCAUACUUGGGUUUAUUUCUUGGAAAAUUUCCUUGGCUUUGGGCAUUGCUCCUUUGUCUUGAUCUUAAGCAAGGGUUCUUCAUACUGGAAUAUUUUUAGUUUUUAAUUUUUUAUUCUUAUUUUUCAAUUAAAGUUGGAAGGAGGGUAAACAAGUAUUAGUUUAUCUUUAAAAUCGAUUGAGAAUAAAGAUGAUUAAUGUUUUUUGUUCCGUAUUAUGUUUAUCUCAUGAAAUUUUUUAAUCUGAACUAAUUUGUUUGAUAAUAUUGAUCAAACUUCCAAAUUUUCUGCUCAGGCGGUAUCUUGCGUACGACUUGACUCCUGUUGCUGGAAUAGCAGCACUUAUAUCCAGCAAUGGUCAUCAUGCCAAUGUUUACUCAAGGAGCUCAAUUAUGGCCCCUCUUCCUAUGUCUGGUUGUAUAAACAUGCCUAUUACUGUCUUAGGUUGUUUCCUUGUGUGUCACAAUAGAGGCCGUUAUCUCUUUAAAUACCAAGACAGAGGGACUUUAGCCGAGGGACACUUUGAUGCUGGAAAUCAAUUAAUUGAAUCUUGGAACAGAGAGGUGAUGUCUUGUGUACGUGAUUCCUAUGUUGAAAUGGUUUUGGAGAUUCAAAAGCUAAGAAGAGAUAUUCCAAGUUCUAUAAUUGAUUCUAGUGUCUGUUCUGCAAUCAGUCUCUCUUUGAAGGCUUAUGGAGAUAAAAUCUACUCCUUCUGGCCCCGUUCUUGUGAGAGGCAUGUUCUGAGCGACCAACUUGGUAAUCACGAUAACAACCAUCCAAGUACAACAGCAGUUGUUCUUAAAGCUGACUGGGAAUGCCUUAAAGAUCGGGUAAUACAUCCAUUUUAUUCUCGUAUUGUUGACCUUCCAGUAUGGCAGCUGUACUCAGGAACUUUGGUCAAGGCUGAAGAAGGUAUGUUUCUUUCACAGCCAGGGAAUGGGUUGCUUGGUAAUUUACUUCCAGCUACUGUUUGCAGCUUUGUAAAGGAGCAUUAUCCUGUAUUUUCAGUACCAUGGGAAUUGGUGACUGAAAUCCUAGCUGUGGGUUUUUCAGUGCGAGAAAUUAGACCUAAAAUGGUUCGGGAUCUCCUAAAAGUCUCUUCAAAACCAAUUGCUCUGCGAUCAGUUGACAUGUAUAUAGAUGUUCUUGAAUAUUGCUUGUCUGAUUUUCAGCUAGCAGAGUCAUCCAGCUCUGCCAGAGAUAAUGAUCCUGCUAGUGCCAAUGUUUUCUGUCGGGAGACUGAUAACGGAAUCACUUCUUCUCAGAUGGGGUCUAAUAUCCACGGCUCCACUGGCAUGGCCACUCGGGGAUCAGCCAGUUCUGGAGAUGCAUUGGAAAUGAUGACAAGUUUGGGGAAGGCUCUAUUUGAUUUUGGUCGGGGUGUUGUUGAAGAUAUGGGUAGAGCAGGAACACCUGUGGCUUACAAUGCGGCAGGCAUAGAUCAAAUUCGGGACCAGAAGUUCAUAUCAAUUGCUGCAGAACUCAAAGGCUUACCAUUUCCAACUGCAACUAGCCAUUUAAAAAAAUUGGGCUUUUCUGAACUUUGGAUUGGGAAUAAAGAGCAACAGUCAUUAAUGGUUCCCUUGGGAGAAAAAUUUAUUCAUCCUAAAAUUUUAGACAGGCCUCUCUUAGGUGACAUUUUUUCUAAUUUUUCCCUUCAAUCACUAUUGAAACUGCGGAAUUUCUCUCUUAAUCUACUGGCCAAUCAUAUGAAACUAAUUUUCCAUGAAGAUUGGGUGAACCAUGUAAUGGGAUCAAAUAUGGCUCCAUGGCUUUCAUGGGAGAAACUUCCUAGUUCUGGUAGUCAAGGUGGCCCUUCCCCUGAAUGGAUUAGAAUAUUCUGGAAAAGUUUUAGGGGCUCACAGGAAGAAUUAUCCCUUUUCUCUGAUUGGCCCCUAAUUCCUGCUUUUCUUGGUAGGCCAGUCUUGUGCCGUGUAAGAGAAUGCCAUCUGGUAUUCAUUCCUCCUCUUUUGGAGUACCCAACAUCGACAAGUGGGAUUUCAGAAAGAGAAUCUGCUGGAAGUUAUGAGAGUGGGGUUAGGGUGUCAAGGGGUAAUACUUCUGAAGCUGAGUUAGCUGAGUCCUACAUUUCAGCUUUUGAAAGAUUCAAAACCAGUUAUUCCUGGUUGUUUCCCAUGUUAAACCAGUGUAACAUACCCAUAUUUGAUGAGGCAUUCAUAGACUGUGUUGCUUCAAACAGUUGUUUUUCUAUGCCUGGUCGAUCACUCGGCCAUGUUAUUGCAUCCAAACUUGUGGCAGCUAAGCAAGCUGGGUAUUUUACUGAACCUACUAAUCUCUCAACUUCAAAUUGUGAUGCACUUUUUUCACUUUUUUCUGAUGAAUUUUUCUCCAAUGACUGUCACUAUGCACGUGAAGAAAUUGAAGUUUUGCGUUCUCUCCCUAUAUAUAAAACAGUUGUUGGUUCUUAUACUAAGUUGCGAGGUCAAGAUCAGUGUAUGAUUCCUUCAAAUUCAUUUCUAAAACCAUAUGAUGAACGUUGUCUUUCUUAUGCCAUUGAUUCAAAUGAAAGUUCAUUUCUUCGAUCCCUUGGUGUGCUGGAGUUGCAUGAUCAACAGAUCUUAGUACGCUUUGGCUUGCCUGGCUUUGAGGGGAAACCUCAGAAUGAACAGGAGGAAAUAUUAAUAUACAUUUUUAAAAAUUGGCAUGAUCUUCAAUCAGAUCAAUCUGUGGCUGAAGCUUUGAAAGAGACUAAAUUUGUCAGAAAUUCUGAUGAGUUUUCAACAGAUCUGUUGAAGCCCACGGAUUUAUUUGAUCCUGGUGAUGCUAUAUUAAUUUCUAUAUUCUUUGGUGAGAGAAGAAAAUUUCCUGGAGAAAGGUUCAGUACAGAUGGAUGGCUUCGAAUACUAAGGAAGCUUGGGCUUCGAACUGCUACUGAAGUAGAGGUAAUAAUUGAAUGCGCCAAAAGAGUUGAGUUUCUUGGAAUUGAGUGCAUGAAAACAGGAGAUUUGGAUGAUUUUGAGGCAGACACAAUCAACACUUGUUCUGAAGUUUCGCCUGAAGUGUGGGCAUUAGGAGGAUCUGUAGUUGAGUUUGUUUUCUCCAACUUUGCUCUUUUCUUUAGCAACAACUUCUGUGAUCUUCUUGGCAAUAUUGCAUGUGUACCUGCUGAACUGGGGUUUCCUAGUGUUGGUUGCAAGAGGGUGCUUGCUUCAUAUAAUGAAGCUAUUUUGUCUAAAGAUUGGCCUCUAGCUUGGAGUUGUGCUCCCAUUCUAUCCAAACAACACACUGUUCCUCCAGAGUAUUCAUGGGGACCUCUGCAUCUACAGAGUCCUCCUCCUUUUUGUACAGUUUUGAAGCACUUGCAAGUAAAAACGAUACUUUUGGUUUACUUUUUAUAUCUAUAUAUUACUUUCCUACAUGUAUUUUAUGCUAGUUUUGUUUUUCCCUAGGUAAUUGGGAGAAAUGGAGGGGAAGAUACUCUUGCUCAUUGGCCCAUUGCUUCAGGAAUGAACAUUGAGGAAUGUACCUGCGAGAUUUUGAAAUAUUUAGACAAAGUUUGGAGUUCACUUUCUUCAUCAGGUGCUUCACUAUUCUGAUGUUUUUCCAUUUAAGCUAAGAGUUAAGGAGAUUAGGAGAAAAAAAUGUCUGUUGCUACCAAAGAUUUCAAAGAAAGAGUGUGGCUUAUAUUUUUUUUUGACAAGUUUUUUAUUCUCCUUACCGAAAUGAUAGGUCUGUCACUGCUCCCACAAUUACUAAACAGGGACCACUUGGGCAGCAUCUGUCUGUGGACCUCCAGUUAUUUUCUGUUGAGUUGAUUAAGCACUUUUGCUUAGGUUGUUGAUACAGAUUAUAGAGACAUACCAUGUAUAAAAGCAUAAAAGAUGGUAUAUGCAUUUUGUUGAUGAAUUUCUAACCACUUUUUCUUUUCCAGAUGUGGCAGAGCUACACAAAGUGGCCUUCCUGCCUGUUGCAAACGGAACGCGCCUUGUGGCUGCUGAUGCUCUUUUUGCUCGUUUGAUGAUUAAUUUGUCUCCAUUUGCUUUUGAACUUCCUACUGUAUAUCUCCCAUUUGUAAAGAUUCUUAAAGAUUUGGGACUUCAGGACAUGCUAACACUUUCUGCUGCAAAGGGUCUUCUAUUAAAUCUUCAGAAAGCUUGUGGAUAUCAGCGACUAAAUCCCAAUGAGCUCCGUGCAGUGAUGGAAAUUUUGAAUUUCAUUUGUGAUCAGAUUGUCGAGGGGAACACAUUAGAUGGGUUAAACUGGAAAUCAGAAGCCAUAGUUCCUGAUGAUGGCUGCAGACUAGUUCAUUCAGCGUCCUGUGUCUAUGUUGAUUCUUAUGGUUCUCGAUAUGUCAAAUGUAUUGAUACUUCCAGAAUUAGAUUUGUCCAUGCAGAUCUUCCAGAGGGAGUCUGUAUUAUGCUUUGCAUAAAAAAGUUGUCUGACAUUGUCUUAGAGGUAGAUUUUAGAUACAUUUUUGUAUUUGUUUUUAUCUAAGUUUUAUCUGCAUAAGGCUUUUACUUACUGGGAUGUUUCUGUCUGGGCUUUUAGGAACUGGAUGAGAAUCACACACUACAGACUUUAGGUUCUCUGGGGUCUGUUUCACUAGUGACCAUCAAACAGAAGUUAUCAAGCAAGUCUCUUCAAACUGCUGUCUGGACUAUUGUUAAUAGCAUGGGCAGCUACAUUCCUGCAUUCAAUAGCUUUUCAUUGGACACAAUGGAAUGCUUAUUGAACUCUACUGCAGAAAAGCUUCAAUUUGUCAAGUCUCUUAAAACAAAAUUUCUGCUCUUGCCCAAUUUGGUAGAUGUUACACGUGCAGGCAAAGAUUUCAUAAUCCCAGAGUGGAAGAAUGAUUCUGCACAUCAAACGCUUUAUUUUAUGAACCAAUCAAGAUCCCGUAUUCUAGUUGCUGAGCCACCAACUUAUAUUUCCCUUUUUGAUCUCAUUGCUAUUAUAGUCAGCCAGAUAUUAGGCUCUCCUAUCAUAUUGCCUAUUGGGUCUUUAUUUGGUUGUCCUGAAGGAUCUGAGAUUGCAGUUGUUAAUGUUUUGAAACUUUGCUCUGAUAAGAAAGAAGUUGAACCCGUAAAUGGGAGCAGCAAUAUGGUUGGCAAAGAAAUAUUGCCACAAGAUGCACGUCUUGUGCAGUUCCAUCCAUUGAGGCCCUUUUAUUCUGGCGAAAUAGUGGCUUGGCGGUCUCAACAUGGUGAAAAACUGAAAUAUGGUAAGGUUUCAGAAGAUGUAAGAUCAUCUGCAGGUCAAGCUCUGUACAGACUUAAAAUUGAAGUUUCCCCGGGGGAUACACAAAGUUUCCUUUCAUCACAUGUAUUUUCAUUUAAAAGUGUAUCAGCAAGCAGUCCCCUAAAAGAAUCAUUGGUGCAUGAAAGCCAUGUAUUAGGCAGUAACAGGCCCCAUGUUGAUUUCCCCGAGAGCUCAGGAAGGGGAGAAAGCUACUCUCAGGUUUAGCCCUUGGAACUUGUUACUAAUCACAAGUAUUAUUUAGCACAAAUUUGCAUUCAUUUCAGGCAAUGGCAUUGGAAUUCGUGACCCAUCCUGUGCUUUCCAAUAACAUACAUGAACAAUAUGAAUCAGCAAAUGAGAGAGAUUUUUUUAGUUGUUAAGGUUGGGAUGAAACAUAAAGCACAUAAUUAAGAAAUUUUUCUUUAGUUUGAGGCUAAGGUCACAGAAUCAAGAAGCAUAUAAUCCUUUUCAAUUGUUAGCUAUUUUGCUCAAGGCUUUCUUCCUUUAACUGUUGCAUAUCUUGUUACCAUUUAUUUAAUCAUUCUUAAAAUACAUAUUCAUGUUGUUUUAUAUUUGGUAUUGCUUGCAUGUUGAUGUGCUUAAACUGAAUGAGAAGUAUCUUUGUGUAAAUAGGUGCAGCCUGUGAGAGAUCAGUCUGGCAAAGUUUCAGCUGCAGAACUGGUGCAGGCUGUCAAUGAAAUACUCUCUGCUGCUGGGAUCAAAAUGGACGUGGAAAAGCAGGCUCUAUUUCAAAGAACAAUAAAUUUGCAAGAAAAUCUGAAAGAGUCUCAGGCAGCUCUUGUGUUGGAACAGGUUGGUGAUUUUAAUUUUUAGUACUAUGGUUUCUUAGCAUUGUGUAAUACUGUUAUGAAUAGGGGAGUACGGACACAUGUUACUCUUUAGGUAUUGGCUCUUCCGUUGUCUUGUAAUCUGUUAUCUGUAUGGAUGUUUCAACUUUCAAUUCCAUGCGUUAAAUCAAUUGAUAUUCCUGGAAUAAUUGAAGUUUUACACCGCUCUUCUGUUUCUGUUUUCUACCCUGUAAAUCAAAGUGUUAAUAUUUUUCUUUCUGAAUAGGAAUUUUGCAUGUGGGCAUUCUAAUUUCCCAAUCAUUUGAAAACCUGUUUAUAGUUUGUUUGAGCAUGCAUAUACAAGCCCGUUGUUAGUUACCACACAUCAAACAUGGAAAAUUUGAAGUUUUGGUCUGCAUUUCAAAUUCAGAGUUUCAGAUAUCUUAAAAAUAGGUUUCUAAUUGGCAAUUUGGAUAUCCACUAGCCAAAUUGCAUAAGUUUGGUAUUGCAUAUCAGUUGUUUAAGGCUUUAGGGAUAGUUUUAAAGUGUAGAAACGAGUAAUGAUUGAAGUAGCUUCCUUGAUGCUUUGUAAUGCAUAUAUCUGGUAGAGUUAAUCUUUAUGAUAAGUUUGGAAUGACAUCAUCAUUAUACAUUGUACAGGAAAGGGUUGAAAAGGCAACAAAAGAGGCUGAUACAGCAAAAGCAGCAUGGGUUUGUCGGGUUUGUCUGAGUUCAGAGGUUGAUAUAACUAUAGUUCCUUGUGGUCAUGUAUUGUGUCGUAGAUGUUCUUCUGCAGUGUCAAGGUGUCCCUUUUGUCGGCUUCAGGUUACAAAAGCUAUCAGAAUUUUUCGUCCGUAAUAUCUCCAAUGCUUUUGUGAUCAUUUUAUUUGGACAUUGUCAGAGUUCCAUUCGCCAAUAUAGGCUAACUGAAGUUGGCUAAGAUUAAUCGGGUUACAUUGGACUCUGACGUGAAUAUUAUGUUUUUGUGAUUGAGCCCCAAAAAUGGGUACUGUUGAAUUUUUUUGUAAAUAGGCCUCAAUGAAAAAAAGGUUUGGUAAAUUAGCCUGUACCUUAACGUAGUUUCACAUUAUUUUUUUUUUUGAGAAAAAGGGUAAUGCAGACAGUAUUUUAAAAUAAAUUUAAGCCAAUGUGGUUAAACGAUUAAAUAUUAUUAGAUGUCAGUGUAAAGAAAAACAGGACAAAACUAAGUCUUUUCAAAUAAUCAUAAAAGGAUUUUAUAUUACUUGUACACCUAUUUUCUAAUAAAUAAAAAAGAAAAAAGAAAAUAAAAAUCCAUCAACAAUAAUUUCUCAAAAUGGGUAUUAGUGUAGUAUUACCUUAAAAGAAGGAAGGAAACGGCUUUUGGAAGUGCCUGUGUUGCUGGAAUAAAAGCAAGUGAAAAUGACUUAUAAAAUAGCUAUAGUCUAUAGCCAAAAUCAUCAGGCAUCAAAUGCAUCCAGUGAAUUCAACUGCAGGUGCGCCAAACAUGACUCACUUUGAUUUUCAAAGUUGUCUUUGCUCUCACAACUUUAGAAACAUGGAUAAUGACUGAGAGUUCUCUUUGAAUAUUAGUUCAAAGAACAACCACAUGUGUGAUUCUCUUUGACUUUUAAAGGGGUUCUUUGCUCUCACAGUCCUUAGAAAUAUGACUAAUAAUAAUUGAGACUCUUUGAAUUAAUCAUUCAAAAUGAUCUCCCACAUUUCUGAUUCUUUUUUAUUUUUAUAAGGUUGCACAGUUAUAACUAUUGCAAUCGCUGAUUCUUCAUACCGCUUUUUAACUAUCUCCGCAAGACAUCUAAGAAGUAAUUAAGAAAUAAGUAAAGCCUCCGUUUUUACUGCCUCAAACUGGUAAUAAUUUCUAAAUUGAACUUCAAACAAAUUAAGCAAGUUAGACAUAUGUAUGUAUUGCAUUUUAUCUACGUACUGGUUCUCGGUGGCUCUUGUGGACGCCAUACUCAUCAUCUUCAGUCGUCGUCUUCUAUUAUCUACAUAUAUAGACGGCAUUUGAUUAAAAUUAACACAUAAUAACAAGUUAGAACAUAUCACUUAUUAACAAAAGAGCACUUAGCUUACUGGACUCUAUCUUAAUUUAUUGAACAUGGUAUUGGUAAAUUGAGGACUUUCCUAACACUGUUAUUAAAUGCAUAUACUUUGGACCAUUAAAGUUCAAAUUAAUUAUAAUUUUAUAGGACGUAACAGCUAUUAGUCAAAUUAAUUUGUGGUUUUUCUAUUGUAUAUCUGUAUGUGUCAUUAUGAUUUAUUAUCUCCAUUUCUAUAUGAAAUACAUUUUUAAAAUUUAUUUAUCUUUUUUUAUAAGAUACUUUAAUUUUCAAAUUACCCUGUGAAUUUUUUAUACUUAAAUAUCUUUAAUUAUUUUACAAUAAAUACUGUUAAUUAUAAAGCAAUAAGAUUUUAAGAUUGAAUAAUAGGACUAAUGCACAUUUGUUAAUUAAUUAAUUAAUUAAUUAAUUAAUUAAUUAGGUGGAGAGUAAUUAAGUAAAAAGAGUAAGAUUUUAUUUAAAGGAGUAAAAAGAGUAAGAUGAUGAGUCUUAAUAAUAACUUUAAAGAAGAUUUAAAAAUAAUAUAAAUUAUUAAUAAAUUUAAUGAUAUUAUUUGUUAACUAAAUUUUUAGGGACGCAAACGUUGAACAAUUUUCUGGACUAAUUAAGUGUCCAAGAUAUAUAACGUUUCUUUACAUCGAUAAAUAGAAUAUUAAUUGAUAGCUAGCAAGAAAUUUCAAGUUUUAACUUUACUUGACAUAAGGCAUGCAUGCCCUUCAUUUUAAGGCACCACUUUUUCCAGUGGUUAGUUCACUAAUGUUGAAAAAACUCUUCAACAAAGAAAGAAAUUCAAAACUUUAAAUAUAUUCUACUGCAAAAGGACAAGUUGUCAACUUUUCCAAAAACUUUAGUCAAAAACCUACUCAAAUAUAAAAUUCAUAAACACACAAAAUUAACUACCUCAUCAAUGAUGCCAUUCCAACGCACAUGUAGUCAAUUAUGCCAAUGUCAAAUAUCAUUAAAAAAUUAUACUAUCUAGAGAGUCAUUAUUCCUAAGGAUAAUUUAUAUGCUGACGACUGAGUAUUGACCUAAAGAGAGACUUAAAAAAUAAAUUUGAGAUUAUUUAUUUUAAAUGAGAGAAGAUUAUGUUAGUUAUUUUAUUGAUUGAGUCAUAUACUUUGGUAGAGUCAUAUGUAAAACUAUAUUGUAUUUGAGAAUAAUUGAUCUAUCUAACAGCAAAAAUUUAUGUUUGAUUUAUAUUAUAUGUUAAAAUUUUCAAGAUCAAUUAUAUGAUCCUUUAUUAAAAUAUCAAGAAAACAUAUUGUGGAAUUCAUAUUGUGAAAGUUUAGAAAAAAAUUAUUUUACUCAUUUCUUCAAACAAGAAAUUUUCACUCUUUGUUAUUCUUAUUCUCUUUUAAAGAAUUUGUCUGUUUUCUUUAUUUGUUUCAAUCCUUGAACAAUUCACUGAUACUAAGAGAGAAUUUGCGAUUCUAAGAGAAAAAAUUGUUUAUUCUUACAUAAGAAUUAUGGUAAGUAAUUUGAAAUUUGUUUAAUCGAUCUUUCUUUAUCUAUUAUUUCUAUUAUUUUAAUUAAUCUAAUAUAUUAUUAUACUAACAUCUUUUAAAAAUAAAAAAUAACAAUCUAAUAUUUUAAAAUAAUUUAAUAAUCUUUUCCCUUACUAAAAGAGAUAUUUAGAUAUUCUUAUCUAAAUAAUUAUUGAAUUAUUUUUAGGGUGUUACAUCAAUGAUAAUUACAUAUCAUAGACAAGAUUAAUCUUUGAUCCAUUAGAUUAAGAAUCACCAAUUAUUUCUCACUCAUCAAAAAAAAAAAAACCUCUUUUACUUUAUAUAAAGUAAUGAGAGACACUUGUUUUAUUAGUAGAAUCCUUACCUUUGCACCGGUCUUGUGAAUUGUGCCUAUAUAAACAGUACCGAAACCUCAAAGAAAGCACACAUCAUUAGAAGUGAAUUUACAAAGAAAUUCAAAAGCAAAGCAAGAAUCAUGAAUUCCAAUAUUUGCAAUUGGAAACAAA